GAAGGGGUGUAUUUAUUAGAUAAAAAACCAAUGCCCUUCGGGGCUCUUUGGUGAUUCAUGAUAACUUAACGGAUCGCAUGGCCUUGCGCCGGCGACGGUUCAUUCAAAUUUCUGCCCUAUCAACUUUCGAUGGUAAGGUAUUGGCUUACCAUGGUUUCAACGGGUAACGGGGAAUUAGGGUUCGAUUCCGGAGAGGGAACCUGAGAAACGGCUACCACAUCCAAGGAAGGCAGCAGGCGCGCAAAUUACCCAAUCCCGACACGGGGAGGUAGUGACAAUAAAUACUGAUACAGGGCUCUUUUGGGUCUUGUAAUCGGAAUGAGUACAAUUUAAACCCCUUAACGAGGAACAAUUGGAGGGCAAGUCUGGUGCCAGCAGCCGCGGUAAUUCCAGCUCCAAUAGCGUAUAUUAAAGUUGUUGCAGUUAAAAAGCUCGUAGUUGAACCUUGGGCCUGGCUGGCCGGUCCGCCUCACCGCGUGUACUGGUCCGGCCGGGCCUUUCCUUCUGGAGAGCCGCAUGCCCUUCACUGGGUGUGUCGGGGAACCAGGACUUUUACUUUGAAAAAAUUA
rnacentral:rRNA from 1 species